GGCCGCGUGGCCUAAUGGUUAAGGCGUUGGUUUUCGGUCACGUGCACACCAAAGAUUGGGAGUGAGUUCUGCGGAACUCCUGACUGUUCGCGCCUUGAAUCGCCUAACAAUUUAUAGGUUCGAAUCUUCCCGCGGUCG
rnacentral:tRNA from 1 species